UGUGUUCUCGGAUCGUCAACUUCAUGAACUUGCACUUGUUAGACUUUUGGAACUUUUUAUGAUGUAACGACAAGAGAGAAGAAAACUGACAUUAAAGGAGAACCAGUAAGAUGUAUGAUGAAUCAAGAUGUGAUCAUGUGGGUCCUGUUCUGUGGAUGCCAUGGGAUGAUCUGUCUGUCCAUCUGAUAUCACUUGUCCUGAGUAUAUUUUCUCUCCUCAUAGCCCAAUCUCACUCAAAUUUAACUCGUAGAGUGCCUGUGGAUGGAGGGUAAAAAGUGACC